GAUGAACGCUAGCUACAGGCUUAACACAUGCAAGUCGAGGGGCAGCAUGAACAUAGCUUGCUAUGUUUGAUGGCGACCGGCGCACGGGUGCGUAACACGUAUCCAAUCUGCCCGUUACUCGGGGAUAGCCUUCUGAAAGGAAGAUUAAUACCCGAUGGCAUGUAUUUCCGGCAUCGGAGAUACAUUAAAGAUUUAUCGGUAACGGAUGAGGAUGCGUACGAUUAGCUAGCUGGCGGGUAACGGCCCACCAAGGCGACGAUCGUUAGGGGUUCUGAGAGGAAGGUCCCCCACACUGGAACUGAGACACGGUCCAGACUCCUACGGGAGGCAGCAGUGAGGAAUAUUGGUCAAUGGUCGGAAGACUGAACCAGCCAAGUAGCGUGAAGGAUGACUGCCCUACGGGUUGUAAACUUCUUUGUUUGGGAAUAAAAGACGCUACGUGUAGCGUUCUGCAUGUACCUUACGAAUAAGCAUCGGCUAAUUCCGUGCCAGCAG
rnacentral:rRNA from 1 species